AGGAGGGUUAGUUAGCGGUCGGGGCAGCGACUCUGGUUCAAAUCCCACUCCUGAUAGGGUUAAAAAAAAAAAAAAAAAAAUUACCCAGCGCUAUAAAGGAGUGAACCGGCGGAAGUAGCUCAACAUCGAAAGUCGCUACGGGGAAACGGAUAGAGGCGCAGGAGGUCGGCGGACCGAAGCGGACGACGACGACGGCUGACGGAAAUCCGGAACUUGGGCAGAUAGCGGCGAGCGCUCGGUGUAGCGGGAAGCCGGGCACAACGAGCGCGCAGAUGGCGGGCUCUCGGCUGCGCCUCGCCGCCACCGGCGCCGUCGUCCAUCUGGACGGUUUUGCAGCCAAAGUGCCAGUCGGCGUUUCCAGCGCCAGACGGAGAGAGAGGGAGCGCGAUCGGGAGACGGAAGGCGAGAGGCAGAGAGGCAGAGAGGUAAGCCAGACUUUUGUGCACCUGGCUUCUGUCUCGGAGUGAGCUGAGCACUUAGAGCGAGCGCGGUAAACAAAAACACGGCCGACCAUCCCUCUCAGAUCAUAACUAGCUGCAGGGGAGUGCAGCUUUUGAUUAUUGUAACAAGAAAAAGAAAAACACACACACACACACACACACACACACACACAGAGAGAGAAAAGCCGACCCUAAGUAUGCCACACGAGGAUGAGGCAGCACCAGAUACUGCAUAUUUCCUACCUUUUUAUGUUACCCCCCUCCCCCUCCCCAAAAAAAGAGUGUGGGGUGGGGGGGUGGGGGGGAGAGAAGCUUCAUAAUUCAACACAACUUAUUCUCUUUUACACAUCGCACUGAGAUCGCCCAAGGACACAAACGUUUUGGAGGUGAAUGCAACACGGCGUUCUACACCAUCACAUUGCUCAUUUUCCUCUUCCUUUUUUCCCCUGAUCUCCAAAAGCUUGUUUUUGCCAAAUAUGUAUUUCAGAAGCUAAAAUCUCAUUUGGUUUUUUGCCCUAUAUUUAUUCCGUGACUGGCUGACUGCAAACAUGAAAGGCAUGUAGAUACAGUAUCUUUCAUCAUUUCCCAUGUAAACCUUUCUCUUCAGGUACACCCAUGUAAACUAUUUUUUCCAAUAUUUGACAAAAAGCUGCAGAGCUUCCACCGACACAUCCUUUCCUUCUUUUGCCAUCGUUUUCUUCUUUUUGUUGCCGUUUUUCUACGAGCCGCUGUAAAUUACGGACGCGCACAUUGUUGUUCUGAAAGAGAAGGAUGAGAGCGAGAUGCUACCGAAACUCGGGAAGACCAGCCUUCGGGGGUCACUCGACGGGCCGAACGCACGACCGAAAAGCGACCGGAGGAAAGCCGCUCCUGCUCCGUCACCGAAAGAGUCCCUGGAAGGAGCCCGUUGACUGUAAUCCCGGCCCAGUCCUUCACAUCCAAGGGAGCCUUUGAAGAUCUUCGUUCCCGCUCUGCCGUCCGGGGAAGCGGCCCGAUUCCAGCACCGCCGUCACCAUGUUACGUAAGGGCUUUUCAAACGGCAUCAAGUCUACCGUCAACAACUGCAAUUAUCAUUACAGUCAAGGGUUAUAUAGAGCCCCUUCCCUACCCUUCCCUUCUCUUCCCGCCGCCGUUUCCUCCAUCGUAAUAACCGUUAUGGAGGGAAAGUGGAAAGCAUUUAAUGUUUCACACUUCCACUGAGCGCAAAGCCUGACGAACAGACUCGGCGAGAGCCGCCGUCGGAACCUCCGCAACUCUUCCACGGAGCGACGGAUCGGUUUGCUGAAGAGCACGUGCAAUGCGUGAGAGCACAUCGCAGAAGAAAGUGUGGAAAAAUGGAAUAAACGGUAUUGUAACAGACGACGACUCGCA
ensembl:lncRNA